CAUGUACUUCUUCCGUCUAAAAAUUCUUGUCUUACGUUUGUCUAAAAUUAAUGUAUCUAAAUACUAAAACAUGACUAGAUACACUCAUAUCUAUACAAAUCAAAGACAAGAAUUUUGGGACGAAGGGAGUAUUAG
rfam:Hordeum vulgare subsp. vulgare, WGS project CAJW01000000 data, contig: morex_contig_1577525